GCAAGUCGAACGAGAACGUGUUUUAGUUUCCUAAAACUGUCAGCUAAGUUGCGCACGGGUGAGUAAUAUAUAGGUAACGUGCCUCUUACAAAAGAAUAACAGUUGGAAACGACUGCUAAUGCUUUAUAUGCCUUUAUCACAUAAGUGAGCAAGGGAAAGUUUUUUCGGUAAGAGAUCGGCCUGUACGGUAUCAGCUUGUUGGUGAGGUAAUGGCUCACCAAGGCUAUGACAUGUAGCUGGUUUGAGAGGAUGAGC
rnacentral:rRNA from 1 species